GUCCCGACCAGAAAGCAGGAGCUUCACACUCGAAGAAACAAGACACUCGAAAUGGGAGCUUGAUUCAUAUACGGGAUAGAAUGUAUAUAUCAUACAGCACAUAGAAUUCUCCUUCAAAAACGGGGACCAAAAUACGGAAUCAAAGUUUUCCAGCGAGUGUAAUAACUUGUAUAUGAAUUUAAAUAAGUGGCAAAAGCAUUAUGUUCAAAUAAGGAACGUACUGUGAUAAAAAUGGCUUAUUUUUCCGAGUGUACAGCUGGCACAGACACAAAGACAGCAGAAGACGGAGACGUCUCGACGCAGUGCAAAAACUUGUCAAGCCAAAAGACGCAGACGCUAUAGCAGCAGAAGCAGCCAAAGCAGCAGCAACACACAUAAAAAAUAUUUUUAUGCAACAUUUUUAUGAUUUCCGUCUGGUUGCGACAGCGGCAUGGGCACAAAGAGACUUCGAGGCACACAAGCCGCCCCAAUUCUGAUUCUGAUGCCGAUUCCGAUCGCAAUUGCGAUUGCGAUGGUCCAAGCCAUCUCCUUCACCUGGUUUCAAUUAAAAGACACUUUUCUUUUA
rnacentral:sRNA from 1 species